AGGAGGGAGCGCGGUUGCAGAGGCGCGGGCUGCGGCCGAGGGGAUGCAGCCCGCAUAUUUUACCUACUUUGGUGCGAUUCCCGCCAUCCUCCCCUGAUUGGCCCAGCCCGGCACGUCAGGCCUUUGCCUAAGGGGAAAAAUCUGCACAUUUUUCCUCCUUCCCGAGGCGACAGUGGCCGUUUAGAGUGCUCUGUGAGUCACCGCUAAUUUCAGGUAAAGAAAGAAGUCAUUGGGGGCCAGAUCUGCUGCUAAAAUCUUGGUGAUUUUGAGGAAAAAGAGGGGUGCUUUCCUGUUUCAUGAAGUCUUGACUGUUUCACAGCACAUGAAGCUUGAGGCGAUAGAUAUAGAGGAAGAGGUAAGUGGCUCAAAGCAGAAUUAGGGUUUUGAUGCCAUGUAUU